GAUGAACGCUGGCGGCGUGCCUAAUACAUGCAAGUCGAGCGAACAGACGAGGAGCUUGCUCCUCUGACGUUAGCGGCGGACGGGUGAGUAACACGUGGAUAACCUACCUAUAAGACUGGGAUAGCUUCGGGAAACCGGAGCUAAUACCGGAUAAUAUAUUGAACCGCAUGGUUCAAUAGUGAAAGACGGUUUGCUGGCACGUAUAGAUGGAUCCGCGCCGCAUUAGCUAGUUGGUAAGGUAACGGCUUACCAAGGCAACGAUGCGUAGCCGACCUGAGAGGGUGAUCGGCCGCACUGGAACUGAGACACGCUCCAGACUCCUACGGGAGGCAGCAGUAGGGAAUCUUCCGCAAUGGGCGAAAGCCUGACGGAGCAACGCCGCGUGAGUGAUGAAGGUCUUCGGAUCGUAAAACUCUGUUAUUAGGGAAGAACAAAUGUGUAAGUAACUAUGCACGUCUUGACGGUACCUAAUCAGAAAGCCACGGCUAACUACGUG
rnacentral:rRNA from 1 species